GCUGGCGUAGCUCAGUUGGUAGAGCAGCGGUUUUGUAAACCGCCGGUCGGGGGUUCGAGUCCCUUCGCCAGCUCCA
rnacentral:tRNA from 1 species